UGGCUUUGUUCCAAGUGGCACCUAUUCCCUUUACCCUGCACUAGUAACAUAGGGUGCUGGUCCAAAGUAAUGCACUAUGAAGGGAAUAGUUAGUUGGGGCGAACUCAGCACGUCCAGGCAGGCUGGUGCAGACAUACAGGGCUGACCGACUCCAGGUUAGUUAGUUAGUUAGUUGUGUUCCCAGGGCUGACCGACUCCAGGUUAGUUAGUUGUGUUCCCAGGGCUGACUGACUCCAGGUUAGUUAGUUGUGUUCCCAGGGCUGACUGACUCCAGGUUAGUUAGUUGUGUUCCCAGGGCUGACUGACUCCAGGUUAGUUAGUUG
ensembl:lncRNA